rnacentral:lncRNA from 1 species
UCUGUCAGGUUUCUCUCCAGGUUUUGUCCAGGGUUUUGUUCCAAGGAAACCUCAGAGUAUUUUGUUUUUCUUCCUUUUUCUCAAGUGAAGUCUUGGUAUUUAUAGACUAAUAUUGGUAGCUUAGUGGGUUUUUGAGAGAGAUCCAAGUUUGAGAUUAUUUAUUUUUUUAUUUAUUUAUUUAAAAAAAAAUCGUUUUCCUUUUUUUUUUUCGUUUUCCGUUUUUU